AAAAUUUGUGAUAGAGGACGUGAAGGAGAGAGCACCCAAGGAUCGCCGUCCUUCACGGUGGCGGAGAUUAUUUAAUCUUUUUACGUCCUGCUUUAGGCGCAGGUCAAGGACAUAAAUGGGAGGACAGUGCAGAACUACUAGAGUAUUUUUACCUCUGUGGCAGUCAAUUUAAAAACUUCAGUAUAUCAUUCUCUUAGUUUUACAAUAAAAAUGCAAUUUUCUGUAA